rnacentral:rRNA from 1 species
GAUGAACGCUAGCGAUAGGCCUAACACAUGCAAGUCGAGGGGCAUCACAUGAAGUAGCAAUACGGAUGGUGGCGACCGGCGCACGGGUGAGUAACACGUAUGCAACCUGCCUUCAACAAGGGGAUAACCCGUUGAAAGACGGACUAAUACCCUAUAACACAGGGGUCCCGCAUGGGAAUAUUUGUUAAAGGACAACCGGUUGAAGAUGGGCAUGCGUUCCAUUAGCUAGUUGGCGGGGUAACGGCCCACCAAGGCAACGAUGGAUAGGGGAACUGAGAGGUUUAUCCCCCACACUGGUACUGAGACACGGACCAGACUCCUACGGGAGGCAGCAGUGAGGAAUAUUGGUCAAUGGACGGCAAGUCUGAACCAGCCACGUCGCGUGAAGGAAGACGGCCCUACGGGUUGUAAACUUCUUUUAUACGGGAAUAAAGUGCCCCACGCGUGGGGUUUUGCAUGUACCGUAUGAAUAAGGAUCGGCUAACUCCGUGCCAGCAGCCG